AUGUCUCUUGAACAGGUGUUUCAUGCUUGUUGUGGAGUUCAUGGAGACUGUACUCGCAAUUUUUCUACUUCGGCAGCUCACGAUCAUCUAUGGCUUCUGCACAUGUAACUCAUUUUUGUGGAAAUAUAACCAAUUCUGAUUUACUCCCUUCCCAACAGGAAGAAGUAAGAGAAUUCAGUGAGUUGGUUUUCAGGCCAAUUUGCAUCUAUCAGAAGAUCUGAAGCCAUCCCUCGGCGUGUCACUGCGCUUUCACGUGUAGCUCUUGUAUGAUAUCCCUAGAAGGGCAUUGAACGCAUCUUGACAUCGUCUUUCUUGAUGAACAGGCCUACUAAAAACUUAUUAAUAUAACGUCCUUGUGUUUUACACUGAUCUUCUAUCGAAACAAUAUGUAUGGAGAGGUAAGUGUGAUGAAUGCAAAAAAUAUUCAGGGAAAACUCAAGGAGGGCAAUGUUUUCCUCUUCAACGAGUCCUUUGUGAAAGUAGCAAAGAACAUGUAUAAGGUUGUGGAAGCAAGUUCCAUGAAAAUAACUCCAUGGUCAGUUUAGGCACAACCUUAUGUCCCUAUCAAUUAUCCUGAUUAUGCAUGUUCACUCACCAAUUUUAUACCUCUACCCUCUAUGGUUGGAAAGACAAAUAGGCAAGGAAAAUCUACUUUAGUGCAUGCACAAUUAUUCCUUUGUUCCCUCCACUUUGCUGCUUUAUUAUCUUUCUGGUCCAUUAUCAUGCUCAUGUUUCAAUGUGCAGUUGUCGAAAUAGUUUCGGUGAUUUCAGAUCUCUUUUAAGGUUUGACUGCCUGCUCGAGCCCAGGAUUCUGACAAAAGUAACCUCCAGAUAACAGAUAAUGAGUAUGCUUUCUCAUCUAAAUUACGUGACCAUCUAUUAUCUUCUAACUUCCAUAAGAGUCACAAGACUAUCUAUUAUCCUCUGAACUCUCACUAUAAUAGCUGAAUCGCAUGUACUUAGUGUAUAUAAUCAUGUCUCAGAUUACCGACUAUAGAGUCAUUAUCCUCUGAACUCUCACUACAUUAGCUGAAUCGCAUGUAACUUAGUGUAUAUAAUCAUGUCUCAGAUUACCGACUACAGAGUCAUUAUCAUAAUUGUCGGCGACAAGUUAUAACUAAAAGUAACUAUAUUUGUGAUCUCUGAACUUUUCCAAUGACAGGUGAAUACUAGCUAGCACCAACAGAAUUGAGAUUAUGUUGAUCUCUCGUGCACAUGGUCACGUACUUAGUACACCAGUAUAGUCCUCUCUCAAAUUAUAAAGUACUCCCUCUGUUCCGAAAUGUAAGUCGUUUAAGGGUUUGACGUGUAAAUUUCGUAACGCUACGAGAAUUUUUCACUUUCCAGAAAUGCCCUCCCACCACCGCUCGCUCUCACCCACUCGAGCUCACUCUCUCGUUCCCCUCUCACCCACCCGGCCACCCCUCUCUCGCUCCCCUCCAGAUCCCCGUCGUCGCCGGCCUCUCCUCGCCAUCGUCACCGCUGAGCCACCCCGCUUCCUCUCUUUCUCCGCACCACCGAGCCACCCUGUUUCCUCCCACCGCCAGAAAUCCACCACCCGUAGGUCAAAAGCUUGAUUUUUUAGGCGCCGGCGAUGAGCUUCUGGCCGGCGGAGGCGCUGGAUCCGCGUGCUUCAAUGCCGGCGACGAAGCGACAUGGAUCCGGGCGGGAUGCUGCUGGAGGACUUCGGGCUGUGGGUGGACCUGGUGCGGCGCAUCUGCGAGGUGCUGGCCAACUACCCGGAGGGCACCACCGCGCUGCGGGACGCCGGGAGCUCAUCCAGAACGCCGACGAUGCCGGGGCCUCGUGCGUCCGCCUCUGCCUCGACCGCCGCGCCCAUGGGUCCCGCUCGCUGCUCGCCCCCGCGCUUGCACAGUGUACGCCAGCAACGACGCCGCCUUCACCGACGAAGAGUUCGCCAGCAUCCCCCGCAUCGGCGGCCGCAAGAAGUCCUCCCAGGCCUGGAAGACCGGCAGCAAGAUGGGCGCUAGCUACACUCUCUAUCGCUGCCGAGCUCUGCUUCGAGCUGCUGCUCUUUCAAUUUGAGCUGCGCUAGCUAAGCUCUUUCAAUCUGAACCAAUUGUUUUAAAGAAGGGCUAAUGAAAAAAGAUGUGUGAGGGUAUCAGUCAUUCUCAUGCCGGCAUGCUGCACUUUUCAGCUAGCAGAUGCAGAGCGAGUACUGGGCGAGGAGAUGAACCUAGGCGAGCAAAAUUGAGAACUCCGGCUGGAGCAGCUCCUGUCCAGCGGCGAGGACUUCAGCGGCAGCAGCACCUGUGCGUGGGGAGGAACAGCACCUGGGCGCGUGCAGGCGGCAGCUCGCCUCCAACAGUGGGCGGCAGCAGAGCACCAGCUCGCCACCACCAGGGGCCGGCAGCAGAGCACCAGCUCGCCUCCACCAGCGGGCGGCAGCAGAGCACCACCUGGGCACGCGCGGGCCAGGAGGGGCCCCUGGGCGUGGGAGAGGAGGAGCGCCUGGGCAGGGGUGGAGGUGGAGGGCGGGGGAGGAGGCGGAGGUGGAAGGCGGGGAUGGAGGCGGAGGUGGAAGACGCCGAGGAAGAAGACGGGCUGAUUCAAAGUUUGAACUGGGGGCAUAAAGGUCCAUUUGCCCAUUUUCACCUGGUCGGAACAUAUUCCCCAGCGACUUACAUUUCGGAACGGAGGGAGUACUUUAUUUCUUCACUGCACCAACAUAUCUCAAAAAUUUAUGGGCAAAAAACGCCACUGCCAGCCAGCCAACAGACACCGGAAGAUCCAAAUUGCACUUGUCAAUAAUGCUUCCAGUAGCACAAACAAGAAAAAGGCAAAAAGGUAAAUAGCCACAUUAUACUAAACUCCCUGUUCAAGAUUCUAUUUUUCAACGUACAUAUAUAUUAACACCUAUCUUCAUGAUUUACAAUUCUGCAACUGACACAAUCAAGACCUCUUCUUCAAAAAAGAAACUUCAUCUCCUUGAGCAAAGAUUGGCUCAUCUACUUUGGGAGCUAUUAAAUAAAUGGACAUGUUAUGAUUGUGACCACCCUUUUUGGAUGUUUUACUUAUGUCGUCUGCCUGCGACAACUAUCACCGGGUUACGUGAUAAGACUUUGUGUUUGCCAAUUCCGGCUUAUCUGUACUGUGUUUUCAGAGAACCAUUGCUCCUGUCUGAACUGAAUUAUCCAAGACUUCCAUCUCUACAAUCACCCUUAUUUAUCCUCUAAAGUGAUGUUUCUGUUCUUUGCUACAUUAUGAUCCCGUGUCUCUAUUUCUAUUACUGUGGUAAAUCUGGAUAGUUGCCCUAUUAUCAGCCUCUCUGUUUUUUACCGGUGAGCAGCUGCUACAUCUUUUAUCAUAAUGGUCUCUUGUAUUA